rnacentral:rRNA from 1 species
CGGGGGACGAGUAAAGUGGCGAAAGGGUGAGUAAUACCUAGACAAUCUACCCUCGAGUUCGGGACAACAGCUGGAAACGGCUGCUAAUACCGGAUGGCAAGAAGGGCUCUUCGGAGGCCUUCUUUAAAGAUGGGGACCCUACGGAGCCUGUCGCUCAAGGAGGAGUUUAGGUCCUAUCAGCUUGUUGGUGGGGUAAUGGCCCACCAAGGCUUCGACGGGUAGCCGGCCUGAGAGGGUGAUCGGCCACACUGGGACUGAGACACUGCCCAGACUCCUACGGGAGGCUGCAGUCGAGAAUCUUCGGCAAUGGGCGAAAGCCUGACCGAGCGACGCCGCGUGGAGGAUGAAGGCCUUCGGGUUGUAAACUCUUUUCGCCUGGCAAGAAUUCCAUUCUGUUAACACCCGGAUGGUCGACCUAACCAGGUAAAGAAGCCACGGCUAACUCUGUGCCAGCAGCCGCGGUAAUACAGAGGUGGCAAGCGUUGUUCGGAAUCACUGGGCAUAAAGGGCGCGUAGGCGGUGACAUAAGUCAGGUGUGAAAGCCCUCAGCUUACCUGAGGAACUGCGCCUGAAACUAUGUCGCUAGAGUGCAGGAGGGGAGAGCGGAAUUCCUAGUGGAGCGGUGAAAUGCGUAGAGAUUAGGAAGAACGCCGGUGGCGAAAGCGGCUCUCUGGACUGUAACUGACGCUGAGGCGCGAAAGCUAGGGGAGCAAACAGGAUUAGAUACCCUGGUAGUCCUAGCCCUAAACGAUGGGCACUAAGUAGGGGAGCCUCCGAGGGUUUCCCUGCCGGAGCUAAUGUAUUAAGUGCCCCGCCUGGGGAGUAUGGUCGCAAGGC